GAAGCGGCAACAGCUCAAAUUUGAAAUCUGGCCCCUUUGGGGUCCGAGUUGUAAUUUGUAGAGAGUGUUUCGGGUGAGACCACGGUCUAAGUCCAUUGGAACAUGGCGUCAUAGAGGGUGAGAAUCCCGUAUGUGACUGUGGAUCGAGCCCAUGUGAAGCCUCUUCGACGAGUCGAGUUGUUUGGGAAUGCAGCUCAAAAUGGGUGGUAAAUUUCAUCUAAAGCUAAAUACUGGCUGGAGACCGAUAGCGCACAAGUAGAGUGAUCGAAAGAUGAAAAGCACUUUGGAAAGAGAGUCAAACAGUACGUGAAAUUGUUGAAAGGGAAGCGCUUGCAACCAGACCUGUCCGUAGGUGAUCAGCCGCUGUUCUCAGUGGUGCACUCGCUCUGCGAUCAGGCCAGCAUCGGUUCGGGCGGUCGGAUAAAGGCCUUGGGAAUGUAGCUUCUUUCGGGGAGUCUUAUAGCCCUCGGUGCAAUGCGGCCAGCCGGGACCGAGGACCGCGCUUCGGCUAGGAUGCUGGCGUAAUGGUUGUAAGCGACCCGUCUUGAAACACGGACCAAGGAGUCUAACAUCUAUGCGAGUGUUUGGGUGUUAAACCCAUGCGCGGAAUGAAAGUGAACGGAGGUGAGAACCCUUAAGGGCGCAUCAUCGACCGAUCCAGAUGUCUUCGGAUGGAUUUGAGUAUGAGCAUAGCUGUUGGGACCCGAAAGAUGGUGAACUAUGCCUGAAUAGGGUGAAGCCAGAGGAAACUCUGGUGGAGGCUCGCAGCGGUUCUGACGUGCAAAUCGAUCGU
rnacentral:rRNA from 2 species